UACAAAAAUUAUUACUUCAAUUUUCUUUGAUACAUUUUUGACAAUAGUUUUGUAACGUCACAAAUUCAAAGCUGGACCGUUUAUACUUUUUUGUUAUGUCUACUUAUUUAAUUUAUCGCGCGAAAGAACUUUUUUCUGACACAGCGGUGUCAACAACUUAUUAUUUUGCCGCUCUUCGCUAAAUAAGGCGACAAAAGAGAAUAAAUAUAAUUAAAAUCGAAUUGUUUAUCGGUAUUGAUCCCUCCCAAAAAGACUGGCCGUUAUCGAUUUGAAAUUGCCGUUAGAUCGGUAUUGGCUCUUCUCCAUCCUGCUUCUGUCACUGACUGUGCUAGAGUGCACAUGUUUGUUGUCUUAUUGUCACUUUUUUCAAUGAUGGAGUAGAGCCGCCAACGGCGAACAGUCAGGUCUUCUCGGCGAAGCAUCCAGACCAUCGAAUGGAUCUCUUCGUAGGCCAAAUUAUUAUUGUGAUACAUUUAUAAUUAGGGACCGCCGGAAACGAGGUCAGGAGGUGACUUAUGGAAUUUUUUAUCAAACAAAAAGCUAACACGAAAUAUAUAAUAUUAGCCACUGAAUUUUAGUUUUUGUCAAUGUAAAAUAGAUUCUACGGCAACUGUUACUAACAGAAUUCAAGAAACCAGAAAAAUUAUUUCAGGAAAACCGUCUGAUUUGUAUGGUUCAUGAAUAUAUAAAAAUAAUUUUCGUAUACACAGACUAUAUGAAAACAGAUAGUUCACUUAGCCGAGAACAAUGGAAAAAAAAAUCAAGCUCUCUGAUUGGGCAGAAGACAAAGCAGUAGAGACUG